UGGGGAAUCUUGCACAAUGGGGGCAACCCUGAUGCAGCGACGCCGCGUGAGCGAUGAAGGUUUUCGAAUCGUAAAGCUCUGUCCUAUGGGAAGAUAAUGACGGUACCAUAGGAGGAAGCCCCGGCUAACUACGUGCCAGCAGCCGCGGUAAUACGUAGGGGGCGAGCGUUGUCCGGAAUUACUGGGCGUAAAGGGUUCGCAGGCGGCAUGGCAAGUCCGAUGUAAAAGGCGAAGGCUCAACCUUCGUAAGCAUCGGAAACUGUCAAGCUUGAGUGAAGGAGAGGCAAGUGGAAUUCCUAGUGUAGCGGUGGAAUGCGUAGAUAUUAGGAGGAAUACCGGUGGCGAAGGCGACUUGCUGGACUUAAACUGACGCUGAGGAACGAAAGCGUGGGUAGCAAACAGG
rnacentral:rRNA from 1 species